rnacentral:rRNA from 1 species
UACGUAGGGGGCAAGCGUUGUCCGGAUUUAUUGGGCGUAAAGCGCUCGCAGGUGGUUCGUCGCGUCGUGCGUGAAAGACCCCGGCUCAACUGGGGGAGGUCGUGCGAUACGGGCGAACUGGAGGCCAGUAGGGGGAUGCGGAAUUCCGGGUGUAGUGGUGGAAUGCGUAGAGAUCCGGAGGAACACCAGCGGCGAAGGCGGCAUCCUGGACUGGGCCUGACACUCAUGAGCGAAAGCGUGGGGAGCGAUCCGG